CUUUAUUAAUUUUUUAUGUUGUAGAUUAAUUUGUUGCAUCUGUUAUUUAUUAUUUAUAGUGGGAUAACAAUGCAUCAAGUGAAGAGUAAUAAAAAGAAGGUUGUGCAGUGGGUCUCUGUGAAGGUAUUAAUGAAACAAAGUUAUGAUUUCCAUUGUUACUUCAUCAGUAUAUUUGAAACUAAGUUUAUUUAUUUUUUUUUAGUGUCCGAAACAAGCUGGAACCUUUGAAUGUGGUUACUAUGUGAUGAAGUACAUCCAGGAUAUUGUUCGCGAUUUGUGCAUUCUUGAAAACAAUAUGAGUUUGUCCAAAACUUGUUUAAUAUUUGUUCGAAGAAUGCAUUGUGAAAUGGAUUUUCUUAAGUGAAUUGUGAAGAUGGUUAAUGGGUGAACAAUUUGCUGCUUUAUGCUUGAAACUAGCAAUAUAAUCAUAUCUUGUGCUAGGGAUUAGAGGAAGUGUUGUGUAUGUUUAGGAUAAUCACAUACACUUCAUUUGCCAUAUUUAUUAUAGGUAAAAGCUAUAACGCUAUAUACAUUUUACUGAAUGCAUUCAACAUGUUUGGAAAAAUUAAUGCCAAUUUUUACUGUGUUCUACUAUGUAUUUAAGGCACUUUAGUGUAAACCAAAAUGACUGGAGUUGUUGCAUGUACAAAUAGAAUGCAUAUAAAUCUCAGUGUUCAGUGUUAAAGUAUUAUUGAGCAAUGAUUGGAGCUGCUGCAUGUACAGAUAUAAAGCAUAUAAAUCCCAGUGCUGAGUGUUAGAAGUAAUAUUGAGUAAAGCAAAUAAUAUAUUAUAAAUUAUCAGCUUCUUAGAUAGCUUUGGUAACCGUUGUUUGCUAUGGUAAUACAAUUUAUUUGCAUGUUCUUCAGUUUUGAUGUUAAUCCUGGCAAACUUAAAAAUAUAUGUUUUUAUUGUGUUCUUCUAUUUUAGGACAGAUUCUAUAAUAUAUGAAUAUAUUUUGUUGCUUUAUUUUUGAAGUUCAAGGGUUGUAAUGAGUACACUAUGGACGAUCUUUCGCAACUUCGCGAUCAGUGGGCGAUGUAUGUUGCAAAGUUACUUGUAGCAUACAAUAAUGAGGUAAAUUAUAUUUUUGCUUGUAAAUAUCAAAGAAUUGAUUUUUGUAGCAUAGUAGCUAAUUGAUUCUAUAUACUGCAAUUAUAGGUGGCAAAGGUGAAGGGAAAGGCAAGGAGCAAAGAGUAGAUGUACUGAUUGUUUCCUGCAAACUAUCAUUAUGUGUUCAUGUAAAUAUUUGACAUGUUUUCAAACAAUAUUUUGGAUAUUUGUA
rnacentral:lncRNA from 1 species